UAGCAGUGAGGGAAUAUUGGUCAAUAGCCUAACGGCUGAACCAGCAACUUGGAGGAAUGUAGAGUGAAAGCCGGUAGAAAGGUGAUGUAGCUAGUAAUAUUAGGAAAUAAAAUGAGGCAGUCUUAGAUUGUUAAAUUUCUAUGUAGGUAUAUGAAUAUGACAAUAUCUGCAGAUGUCUUGACCAAGUCACGUGCCAGCAGUCGCGGUAAUACGUGGAAGAUUAGUGUUAUUUCUAUUUAUCAGGUUUAAAGGGUACCUAGACGGUUUAUUAAGCAAUAAGAUGUACUAAUUAAACUAGAGUUUAAUGGAACAAGGUUUGAGUACGGUGAGUGUAGAGUUAAAAUUCUGUGAUACCAUUUAGGAACUGGUAAAGGCGAAGGCAACCUUGAAUGUAAAAACUGACGUUAAGGGACGAAGGCUCGUUUCAAAUAACAGGAUUAGAUACCCUAGUAUUGUGAGCAGACAAUGAUGUUUGUCAUAUGCAAGAAUUACUUUGUGUAUAAAUGAAAGUGUAAGCAUACCACCUCAAGAGUAACAUGGCAACAUGGGAACUGAAAUCAUCAGACCGUUUCUGAAACUCGUAUUGAAGUAUGUUGUUUAAUUUGAUGGCCCUCUAAAAAUCUUACCUACCCUUGAAUUUAUGACUAUAUAUCGUUAUCAUUACCAUGUUAAUGAUAUAUAGUAACAAGCGUUGCACGGCUGUCUCCCGUCAAUGUUGUGAAACUGUGGUUUGAUCCAUUAAAUUGACGCCCCCCAAACUUUAUUUUAAAUAGAGUGGUUCGCCGCUAUAUUGGUAGUGAUAUAUGGGCCAGGAACAAGUCAUCANGCCAAUCCC
rnacentral:rRNA from 1 species